GCGCCCAUAGCUCAGUUGGAUAGAGCAACUGCCUUCUAAGCAGUAGGUCGCAGGUUCGAAUCCUGCUGGGCGUA
rnacentral:tRNA from 2 species